rnacentral:rRNA from 1 species
CCUACGGGUGAGCAGCAGUGGGGAAUAUUGGACAAUGGGCGAAAGCCUGAUCCAGCCAUGCCGCGUGUGUGAAGAAGGCCUUCGGGUUGUAAAGCACUUUCAGUGGGGAAGAAAGCCUUGGGGCUAAUACCCUCGAGGAAGGACAUCACCCACAGAAGAAGCACCGGCUAACUCCGUGCCAGCAGCCGCGGUAAUACGGAGGGUGCGAGCGUUAAUCGGAAUUACUGGGCGUAAAGCGCGCGUAGGCGGUCUGAUAAGCCGGUUGUGAAAGCCCCGGGCUCAACCUGGGAACGGCAUCCGGAACUGUCAGGCUAGAGUGCAGGAGAGGAAGGUAGAAUUCCCGGUGUAGCGGUGAAAUGCGUAGAGAUCGGGAGGAAUACCAGUGGCGAAGGCGGCCUUCUGGACUGACACUGACGCUGAGGUGCGAAAGCGUGGGUAGCAAACAGGAUUAGAUACCCCUGUAGUC